UACCAGCACCCCGAGUGGUCGGGACGUUUUGUGCUUAGGGCCUAAAGCAUCCGUAGCCGGUUCUACAAGUCUUCCGUUAAAUCCAACUGCUUAACAGGUGGGCUGCGGAAGAUACUAUAGAGCUAGGAGGCGGGAGAGGCAAGCGGUACUCGAUGGGUAGGGGUAAAAUCCGUUGAUCCAUUGAAGACCACCAGUGGCGAAGGCGGCUUGCCAGAACGCGCUCGACGGUGAGGGAUGAAAGCUGGGGGAGCAAACCGG
rnacentral:rRNA from 1 species